rnacentral:piRNA from 1 species
UGGAUUUCUGGAAUGUCCCCAGGCCC